GAGGGUCUGGCUCAAGUGGUAAAGUGCAUGCUUGGCAUGCACGAGGGCUUGGGUUCAAUCCCCAGGACCUCCA
rnacentral:tRNA from 1 species